ensembl:lncRNA
CAUCACUCCCAGCACUCCUGUCAGUUCAUCAAGCACCAUCUGCGACACACACUGGAUUUCUUCCACUGAGUCAAAACAGUGACCUUUCAGCUUGAAUUACGUUUUUGGGGACAAAUUUAUGGUGCACACCCGUCUGAAUGUUGAAGAAAAUGACAAGGAUCCUCUUUGCGAGCUUUUUUUUUUUUUUUUUUCUACUGAAAAAGCUGUUGUUCGGUCUCUAGGUUGCCUCCAUACAGAGUGCUGUGGGUAUUUUUGUUGGUCAAUCUGUUAUCAUCACCAUUGCCUAUGUUCCUCCAUCUGUUGGCAGAUUGUCAUAGGCUUGACCUCAAUAAUACUACCUACCUAAAAGCAAUUUCUACUAUAAUUAUGAUUUCAAAUAAAAGAAACCAAUUGUAACCAUUAUGUCCUGCCCCAAUCCAUCCAAUUAUACACUGUAAGAGCAGUUUACCUGAAUUCAUAUUAAUAAAUUAUUGAUUUUAAUAGCACGCUUGGUGCAUUUUGUUGUUUCUUGACUAAAUCUAAGAGGCCAGGUAGUUUUGAAAUGAAGCAUGCUUGUUUUAAAUUAUUAUUAUUAUUUUUGUUGGGGGAGAGCUCACAACUCCCACGCCAUCACUUAUGAAUGUUUCCAAAAUUGCUCUCCCAUUUUAAAACAUAAUCCGACACCAAUGCCUUGUUAUUUUAAAUACUUAAAAUAAUAUUAGGUUUUUAUUGCUUACUUCUCCACAGCUUCAAUGAGGCAUGGUCAUAAAACUUAAAUGACAGCAGUCACAGUAAAAAAAAAAAAAAAAGAAAGACGAAAAAAGACAGAUGUCUCAUUUUGAAAAGAGUCUUGAAAUUGCUAAACUGCCCACACUUGCUGGUUUAUCUUGUCGCGGUGUGAAUGUUGAAGUGUACUGAAAGUGACAGACACCACAUUCUUACCUCUGCACCUGUCUCACUAACAACUCUGAAGUCACUAUCUCACACUGUCUCUUUCAUUCCUGUUGACACUAGUUGUUCUUCCUGCCUUUGGUCUCCAUGAGUGGGUGCCCUUAAUCACUGUAAGUGACAUUUUUCACUUGAAGUCUGCUGAAUUGCUUUUCCACUUUGGUUUCAUCCCUGAGAGAAAAAAAAACUAUUCUCUUUUCCCCAAC